UGCGUAGGUGGCGAGGUAAGUUUGAUGUGAAAUCUCCGGGCUUAACCCGGAAACUGCAUUGAAUACUAUUUUGCUGGAGGGUUGGAGGGGGGACUGGAAUACUUGGUGUAGCAGUGAAAUGCGUAGAUAUCAAGUGGAACACCAGUGGCGAAGGCGAGUCCCUAGACAACUCCUGACACUGAGGCACGAAAGCUAGGGGAGCAAACA
rnacentral:rRNA from 1 species